GGAGGUAGUGACAAUAAAUCACAAUGCGGGACUCCUAGUCUUGCAAUUGGAUUGAGAACAACGUACAACUCUUAUCGAUAAGCCAUUGGAGGGCAAGUCUGGUGCCAGCAGCCGCGGUAAUUCCAGCUCCAAUAGCGUAUAUUAACGUUGUUGCAGUUAAAAAGCUCGUAGUUGAAGUGAGGGAGUGUGUGGGUAUGAGAGCUAGUCUCAAGUACUCACAACCUCCCCCCUCCAAUCGGUGUAGUGGGGUAUUCACUUAUUCUACUACUCCUUUGGUCGUUUACUGUGAGAAAAUUAGAGUGUUCAAAGCGGGCGUUUGUUUGAAUAGAUUAGCAUGGAAUAAUGAUUGAAGGCUUUCGUGUUCGAUUUGAUUGGUUUGUUCAUGGAAGCAAGGUUAAAAGGAACAGUUGGGGGUAUUCAUAUUCACUAGUUAGAGGUGAAAUUCUCGGAUUUAUGGAAGAUGAACAAGUGCGAAAGCA
rnacentral:rRNA from 1 species